CGGGAUACCCGAGGGAAACUUCGGUUAAUACGGUAUAAGACCACACUACCGCAUGGUAGAGGGGUAAAAGGGGCAACCUGGUAUGAGAUGGACUCGCGUCGCAUUAGCUAGUUGGUGAGGUAACGGCCCACCAAGGCGACGAUGCGUAGCCGACCUGAGAGGGUGAUCGGCCACAUUGGGACUGAGAUACGGCCCAGACUCCUACGGGAGGCAGCAGUGGGGAAUAUUGGGCAAUGGAGGAAACUCUGACCCAGCAAUGCCGCGUGAAUGAAGAAGGUCUUCGGAUUGUAAAGUUCUUUAGUCAGGGAAGAAGUCAAUGACGGUACCUGAAGAAUAAGCUCCGGCUAACUACGUGCCAGCAGCCGCGGUAAUACGUAGGGAGCAAGCGUUGUUCGGAAUGACUGGGCGUAAAGGGUGCGUAGGCGGUUGUACAAGUUGGAAGUGAAAUACCCAGGGCUUAACUCGGGUGCUGCUUCUAAAACUGUAUGACUUGAGUGCAGUAGAGGUUAGUGGAAUUCCUAGUGUAGCGGUGGAAUGCGUAGAUAUUAGGAGGAACACCAGAGGCGAAGGCGGCUAACUGGACUGCAACUGACGCUGAGGCACGAAAGUGUGGGGAGCAAACAGGAUUAGAUACCCUGGUAGUCCACACUGUAAACGAUGGAUACUAGAUGUAGGAGGUAUCGACUCCUUCUGCGUCGCAG
rnacentral:rRNA from 1 species